UCAGGAGUAUUGUAUGCUGGCAUUUCUUUAUGGGGUGAGGAGAAUCUAAAACCUGCCAACUGCUGAUAUGGACUCAGAGAGCCAGGAAUAAGCAUAAGCAAGUACGAAGAAAGACUGGCUCUGUCACCUCCUCCCAGCACA